GUGUUCAAUGAAAUUUUCUACCUUUUUGGUAAAUGAAGAGUUUAACGAAAUCUAACCUAACCCUAAACCCUAACCCGUUUGGUCUUUCACUCUUUCAGUCAGGAGUCCUAAAUCUGUCGCCUCUUUCCCCUUGCGUCGCUAGGAGAUCCUGAGAGGCAUUAUCCAUCGUCUCAGAGGUAACGCUGGAAUAUUCAGUCUAGCUUUCACCGCUCUGCGUCUCUGCCUCGCCACUUCGCUCGGCUUCGUCUUCAACCGCGGCUGUCCGGCUCUGUGCCCUCAGGGUUGAAUAACUUGAAAAACCCUUCAGUUUUCUUGUAUGUUCCAUCCAUAAUCCAUUGCUGCCUCCAAACCUCUGCUUUAGAGCCUGAUUGAUUCGCAAGAAAAUAACAAUUGAUCUCCGGUUCUUUGACUUGCUUGAGGAAUCAAAGAUAGGAGAUUAGGUUUAGGGCUAAAAUUUUGAUUCUAAUAAUUGACAUUCUGUUAUUAAUCUCUUGCUUCAUUCUUGCCAUUUUUAGGUAAAGGACAAUAAAUACACACUUUAUAUGCUGUGCUUCUUUUUUAUUUUCAGAAAUUAUGCUUUGCUUAUGUUUAUUUGUAUGCUGGAAAAUUCUAUAUUGAGAUAAUUAUAUAUAUAUAUAUAUUUGGUUCAGUUAUGGAAAAAUUCUUUUAAAGAAAAUCAACUUUUGAGGAUUUAUCUAGUCAAGGUAGUCGCAAUGUGUCAAGUACAAGGUCUCUUAAUAUAGAUGAACUUGAACUUUGCUUCUUCGCUCCCACCGAACCCACUGAAAUGAAAUCCUGGAUCCGCCCGUCUCUCUGAUGUCAACUUUGUCCGAAUACAUUUUUUGCACACUAGUUGUAGAUGAAGGUUGUAAUCAUUGAUUCUUUGUUUAAAACUUAAUGCAUUUGGUUGUUUAGUAUUGGUUAGAGAUUAAGUUUGUCAUCCUUGGUUCUAUAUGUAGAUAUUGUCAUCUGUGAUUCUCUACAUAAAAUUAUUAAGUGUAUUUGUCCCACACUGAUUGGUUAGAAAUCAAGGUUGUCACCUUUGAUUCUCAAUACCAUAGUGAACCUUAAGUGAAACAAGCUUGGACACUAUGUUCAAACCUUAAAUUGACCCUUCUUCAUUCGAGUUUAGCCCAUUUUACACCCGUAAAUGCAAUUACAUUUCACCAUUAAACCAGAUCUCAGAGCUCUUAUUCUUUCCCUUAGUUCUACUUCUUGCUUGAGUGCAUGUCUAAUUUUAUUGAACUUAAUUUCAUUGCAUAUCUGCAUUU